UGCAAAUUAUUUUCCCCCUUUUAAGGCUAAUGGACUCAUAAGGUGAACUCAUGGAAGCUCUUAAGAAUGUUACACAAGAGACAACGCUAUCUCAGCUGGAUAAUUCGAGCUGAAAAGCAACAGCAUUUCUUGGUACGCCUGCUUUGGCAUACAUCAGCAUUUCUACCCGUCCAAGUGUCCUUUUGCGUCACAUCUCGCCAUUUCACUCAACCAAUGAGAUCUCCAUGUUGCAGUAAAAAUAUAUAUACUUCUUCUGUUAUUGGUAUAUUCAAAAAAAUUUUAUGUGCUUUCCUAACAAAAAAUGUUCUUCAGCAUUUGAUUUGCCCUGUGUGAAGGAAAAAAGAAAAAAGAGAGAGAGAAAGAGAGAGAGAGAGAGAGAGAGACUACAGGAUUCAACCUUGAAGAGUCUUCUUUGUGGAAAAUAUGUUACCAUAAGAAAAAAGAGGAUUGUGUGGUUACUUAAGGAAAGUCAUAGUUGUCCCCCUGAUUUAAUAUUUAUUUUGCUUAUGCUAUCAUCGCUUCCCUGAUGUUCUUUUAAAACAGUUAGGCAGUUUGAACUAACUGGAAAAGUCAAUAUUGUGUUUCUAAGACUUUGUAAAAUACUCCAAGGGAAAAAAAAAAAAAAAAAAAAAAAAAAAGAUAUUGAUGUUUUGUUCCUCUAAAUAUUGAUCAAAAGAUGAUUAAAAAAUGCAAUGGAAAAUUGAGUUUCUAUUUCUCACAACUCUCAGAUCCCAUCCAGAGAGGCUGCUCUCCAACAUUCUGCUUAGAAAGGCACGAUCCUGCAAAAUGGAGCAGAGGUCUUCGCAGGUUUUUUCUACGAUGUAUUUCCCUCUUAUAUAAACUUACUGUCUUCUAAAAAUAAAGUAUUUAAAUGAUCAGCUGUGGUAAGAACAGUGACAAAGCCUUAAUGCUAUUUACAAUAGCUUGUAAAGCAGCCAUCCCAAGAGCUGCAUGCACUCUGCCUGAUAAGGUUGCCAAAAGCAAGAAUUACUAAGAACAGUGUAUCCUGCAUUUGACAGGACACACUUUCCACCUAUACAUCAUAAAGUAUAUUAAAACCCUUUUCAUUGUUUUCAGACAUGACACAGUAACUGUGAAUACACUCUAUUAAAACACAAUAUUAGCUAAGCGUAGGAAGUAUAGUGUGGCACGUGGAUUUCUCAGAACUUGCUGGCUGUGCCACAUCUUGAAUGACUAUUGUAGUGACAUAUUUAGGGAACCUCUGUUGCACAUUUUUAUCCAGCCUCAAAUCUCAAGAAAAUGCACAACCACUGGCAUUCUGAGGAUAAUAAACAUUUCUUUUGUAA